GACGAACGCUGGCGGCGUGCUUAACACAUGCAAGUCGAACGGAAAGGCCCCUUUGGGGGUCCUCGAGUGGCGAACGGGUGAGUAACACGUGAGUAACCUGCCCUUGACUUCGGGAUAACUUCAGGAAACUGGGGCUAAUACCGGAUAGGAAUCCUUGCUGCAUGGUGGGGGUUGGAAAGCUUCGACGGUUUUGGAUGGACUCGCGGCUUAUCAGCUUGUUGGUGGGGUAGUGGCUUACCAAGGCUUUGACGGGUAGCCGGCCUGAGAGGGCGACCGGCCACAUUGGGACUGAGAUACGGCCCAGACUCCUACGGGAGGCAGCAGUGGGGAAUAUUGCACAAUGGGCGGAAGCCUGAUGCAGCAACGCCGCGUGCGGGAUGACGGCCUUCGGGUUGUAAACCGCUUUCAGCAGGGGCGAAGCUUGUGGUGACGGUACCUGCAGAAGAAGCACCGGCUAACUACGUG
rnacentral:rRNA from 1 species